rnacentral:lncRNA from 1 species
GGAUCUCCCAUUCAGACAAUAUAUCCAAAUCACGAGACAUAAAAAACAAACAUAAAAAAGUAUGGUCCAUACGGCACUAUAUCACAGAUUGCCAAUCAAUUUAUAAAUUAGGGCGAUUCUUAAUUGACGCACAAAUGACAUUCGUAGCCCACCUCCUUCAGAGGAAGAAUACGACCCAUCAACCUAUAAGGGAUAAUCAAGGCUCAUCUAGCUGGUCCUGCAGAAUCCAAAUAUAGCUUAACUCAGAUUAUGAUCAAUUUGGAGCAAUAUUAGGAAGAGAGACCAAUGAUUAUUAAUUAAAAUGCUUUGACAGAAAAAUGUUCUGAAAAGGGCGGCUUUUAUAUUAAAAACAUUUUACCUGGACAUCAGAAGUCCAAAGGGUGAGGUUGUCUCUCAAAAGUUGCAUUAUAAGUGUGCUGUCUUUGUAGGAUUCUUCUCCCAAUGUGUCCAGUUCAGCAAUUGCUUCCUCAAAAGCCUAUCCAGAAGGAAAAGAAUAUUGUUUCAGUUCAGUAGAUUUUAGAAAAGAAAAGAGAAACACAGAAGGAAUAACUUAUGUCAAUAUUUCUAAUAGACAAUUUUUGGGGGAAGACAGAUCAAUAUUGGGUUAAACUUAAUAAGUAUGGUAAACAACUCUUUAGCAUUAUACAAUUAAAAAGAGGGGGGAAAAGGUAUAAAUUUGUUGCAGAUGGAUAAUCCUUUUUUUUCUAGCAAGUGAACUCGAAGUUAUCUAUAAUAUCAUUGCAGAUAAAUAACAAUAUUUCAUCGCCAAAGAGAAAAGAGAGAAUUCUUGAGAAAGUAUGUUUGUUAAGUUCCUUGCAAAUGAAUGACAAUAUCUCAGCACCAAAGAAAAAAAGAGAGAAUUCUUGAGAAAGUAUGUUUGUUAUGUUCCUUCCAUGUGCAAUUUCCCCGUUCUGAGUUAAAUUCACUCAUUCAAGUAAAACAAUACCCAGCUUCACGAGCAAACUUUUAAAACCAAUAGAGAUUUAUUCAAUGCAGCAUAACUCUCACCAACACAAACCUUUUUUUUUUACAAGACCAACACAACUUUUUUAAAAAAAUUAUAAGUUUUCCUCACAAUAACUUAACCAUGAAACUACCAAUAUCCAGAUAUUGGCAGUUAGACUACUAUGGGUUCAUUGUUCAUCCAGGUCAGCUACACCAGCCAUGUAAAAGAAAGAAGAUAUCUAUCUUACAGAUCUAAAUUUUCUGCAGUUAGAAUUUCAUGCAUUCGACGCCAACACAGUGUGUAAAUCAAAAUCAUUGGAUAAACAUUGUAUGAUUUAUAUUUUAAGCUAGGUAACUAAGUUUAAAAGAAAGAAAGAAAAAAAAACUCAGAAUUUGAAUUGUUAGAUCUUCAUUCAACUACUAUGACAGACCAACUCAACCAAGAAAGAUUUUGACAGGAGGGAAACUAUAAACAUGAUUUGUCAAGAACUUCACACCAUAUAUAGGGAAAACAGACUACUACCGCAGAGAGAGAAACACAAAAAAUUUCAGCUUUCACAGAUCUUUUCAUAAGAUACAUAGACACAAACAUCAAAGUCAAACAUAUUUCUUACUAGUCAAAAUCUAGUCCAAACAUGUCAAUUGACCUAAAAUUUUCAAUGUAAUAAACAUAUCACAAAUUAAAGGAAGCAUAUAGGUACUAGUAAUUUAAUAUAACUUCAUAAAUCAGAAAAAUUAAAUUAUGACAUUACAGAUAAUAGUAUAACAUUCAUAACUCAACAUGAACGAGUAAUUUUAAACCAAAACAAGAUCAGAUUAACACAAACCUGUUUGGCCAUGUCACAAGCUUUGUCAGAUUGAUUGAGAAUUUCGUAAUAGAAAACAGAGAAAUUGAGAGCCAAACCCAAUCUUAUAGGAUGAGUUGAUGGAAGAUCCGCAGCAGCAAUAUCCUUAAACACAAAACAAUAACAAUUAAUUAAUCAAUCUUUCAAACACAAAAUAAAACAAAAUAAUGAAAAAACAAAAACCUGUGCAGCUUUGUAAGACAACAUAGUAUCCUCAGCAGCAGAUUUUUUCUCAUCACCAAUCUUAAACUCAGCCAAAUACCUAUGAUAAUCACCUUUCAUCUUAUAAUAAAAAACCUUACUUUCACUCGAAGAAGCUGAAGGUAUAAGAUUCGAAUCCAACAACUCCAGAAUACUACCACAAACAUUCGUCAACUCUGAUUCAACUUUGGAUCUGUAAUCCUUCACAAGCACAACAUGAUCUUCAUUCUUUCUACCUUCUUCCUUCUGUUCAAUCGAAGAAACGAUUCUCCACGCAGCACGUAGCGAUCCGAUCACGUUCUUGUAAGCGACGGAUAUGAGGUUCCUCUCUUCGACGCUAAGCUCUGAUGAUGGUGUGGACCCCACUACAAGCUUCUGCAUGAAGGAGACCAUCUCCUCGUAGCGUUCAGCUUGUUCUGCGAGUUUUGCUAGGUACACAUACUGUUCUCUGUUUAGGUUUUCUGGAAUCGCACCACCCAUGAUUCUUUUUCUCUUUUCUGUUUUGUUGUUUUGUUCUUUCAGUGUUU